CAUUAAGAAGCUUUACACAGCAUUAGCCUUUUAAGCUAAAGAAGGGGUAAAAUGACCCCCUUAGUGAA
rnacentral:tRNA from 1 species